rnacentral:rRNA from 1 species
GACGGAGGAUGCAAGCGUUAUCCGGAAUUAUUGGGCGUAAAGCGUCCGCAGGUGGCUGUUCAAGUCUGCUGUCAAAGCGCAGAGCUUAACUCUGUACAGGCGGUGGAAACUGAAGAGCUAGAGUAUGGUAGGGGUAGAGGGAAUUCCCGGUGUAGCGGUGAAAUGCGUAGAUAUCGGGAAGAACACCAGUGGCGAAAGCGCUCUACUGGGCCGAUAACUGACACUGGAGGGACGAAAGCCUAGGGGAGCGAAAGGG